rnacentral:lncRNA from 1 species
AGACCACAGGCCGGUCACCACCAUCCCCCCCAAAACCACCACCCCCCCCUCCGCCGCCCCACUGGCGCCAGCUCUGACCCAAAUCCACCCAGCCCCAGAUCUUAUCUCUGCCCCAAAGACCAACGUGCCCCCAGGACCCACCCCCUUCAUGGGGACCAGUGGGGGUGGCCUUGGAGGGGGGGGGGUUGGGGGGAACGGGGGGUGGAACCCACAUCCCAUUGGUUGGAGCCACCCCCUUGGCUGCUACAAAAACUCGGAACCUUCUGAGGAGGCUCAGCUCUACAGCUCCGGCAUGAGUCCUCUCUGAGGAGUGGUGAAGAUGGUACUUCACGGCCUGGUUCUCCUCUGGAGUUGGUUCCUGCUGCGAUGUGGUGCAGACCCACAGCCCCACACCAGCAACAAGCUGUGCUCUGGGGUCCGCUGUGGACCUGGGAUGGUUUGUAGGGUUUUGGAUGAUGGACCCAAAUGUGUCACAGUGCCCUCGUGCAAGAACUACCCGUGCCCAAAAGCUGGAACAGAGUGCCAGAUGCUGCACGGGCGGCCCAGAUGCGUCCCAUUGCCUUCAUGCAAGAACACCCGUUGUGAAGCAGGAACGGAGUGCAGGAUGGUGAAUGGGUCACCCCAGUGCAUCCCUCUGCCUUCCUGUAAGAACACCCGUUGUGGUGCUGGAACGGAAUGUAAGAUGGUGGAUGGGUCACCCCAGUGCAUCCCACUGCCUACGUGCAAGAACACCCGUUGCGAUGAGGGAACAGAGUGCAAGAUGGUGCAUGGAUCACCACAGUGCAUCCCAUUGCCUUCAUGCAAGAACACCCGUUGUGAAGCAGGAACAGAGUGCAGGAUGGUGCAUGGAUCACCCCAAUGCAUCCCAUUGCCUUCGUGCAAGAACACCCGUUGCGAUGAGGGAACAGAGUGCAAGAUGGUGCAUGGAUCACCACAGUGCAUCCCAUUGCCUUCAUGCAAGAACACCCGUUGUGAAGCAGGAACAGAGUGCAGGAUGGUGCAUGGAUCACCCCAAUGCAUCCCAUUGCCUUCGUGCAAGAACACCCGUUGCGAUGAGGGAACAGAGUGCAAGAUGGUGCAUGGAUCACCACAGUGCAUCCCAUUGCCUUCAUGCAAGAACACCCGUUGUGAAGCAGGAACAGAGUGCAGGAUGGUGCAUGGAUCACCCCAAUGCAUCCCAUUGCCUUCGUGCAAGAACACCCGUUGUGAAGCAGGCACAGAAUGCAAGAUGGUGCAUGGAUCUCCCCAGUGCAUCCCUUUGCCUUCCUGUAAGAACACCCG